rnacentral:rRNA from 1 species
AGUGAACGUUGGCGGCGUGGAUUAGGCAUGCAAGUCGAGCGAGAACCGUAGCAAUACGGGGACAGCGGCGAAAGGGACAGUAAUGUGUAGGUACCUACCUCCGGGUUCGGGAUAGCUGCGGGAAACUGCAGGUAAUACCGAAUAACGUCUCCGGACCAAAGGUGUGAUUCCACCUGGAGAGGGGCCUGCGUCCUAUUAGCUAGUUGGGGAGGUAACGGCUCACCAAGGCGACGAUGGGUAGCGGGUGUGAGAGCACGACCCGCGUCAUUGGGACUGAGACACUGCCCAGACACCUACGGGUGGCUGCAGUCGAGGAUCUUCGGCAAUGGGCGCAAGCCUGACCGAGCGACGCCGCGUGCGGGAUGAAGGCCUUCGGGUUGUAAACCGCUGUCGUAGAGGAGGAAAUGCAGGGGGGUUCUCCCCUCUGCUUGACCUAUUCUAGGAGGAAGGACGGGCUAAGUUCGUGCCAGCCGCCGCGGUAA